CCUACGGGAGGCUGCAGUAGGGGAUAUUGCUCAAUGGGGGGAACCCUGAUCCAGCGACGCCGCGUGAGUGAUGAAGUAUUUCGGUUUGUAAAGCUCUGUCAGCAGGGAAGAAAGCAAUGACGGUUACUGAACAAGAAGCCGCGGCGAACUACGGGCCAGCAGCGGCGGUAAUACGGAGGGGGCAAGCGUUACCCGGAAGUACUGGGAGUAAAGGGGGCGUAGACGGAUGUGCAAGUCUGAUGUGAAAGGCUGGGGCUCAACCCACGGACUGCACUGGAAACUGUAAGGAGGGAGUGUAGGAGAGGUAGGCGGAAUUCCUGGUGUAGCGGUGAAAUGCGUAGAGAUGAGGAGGAACACCAGUGGCGAAGGCGGCUUACUGGACUGUAACUGACGUUGAGGCGCGAAAGCGUGGGGAGCAAACAGGAUUAGAUACCCGAGUAGUA
rnacentral:rRNA from 1 species